rnacentral:rRNA from 1 species
UACGUAGGGUCCGAGCGUUGUCCGGAAUUAUUGGGCGUAAAGGGCUCGUAGGCGGUCCGUCGCGUCGGGAGUGAAAACUCGGAGCUUAACUCCGAGCCUGCUUCCGAUACGGGCAGACUAGAGGUAGGCAGGGGAGAGCGGAACUCCUGGUGUAGCGGUGGAAUGCGCAGAUAUCAGGAAGAACACCCGUGGCGAAGGCGGCUCUCUGGUACGUGACUGACGCUGAGACGCGAAAGCGUGGGGAGCGAACAGG